rnacentral:rRNA from 1 species
AUUGAACGUUGGCGGCAGGCCUAAAACAUGCAAGUCGAACGGUAACAGCGAGAGCUUGCUCUCGGCUGACAAGUGGCGAACGGGUGAGUAACACGUAGGAAUCUACCCAGUAGUGGGGGACAACCCGGGGAAACCCGGGCUAAUACCGCAUACGCCCUCUUAUUGAAGAUAGGGAGGAAAGCGGGGGAGUCUUCGGACCUCGCGCUAUUGGAGGAGCCUGCGUCGGAUUAGCUAGUUGGUAGGGUAAAGCCUACCAAGGCGACGAUCCGUAGCUGGUCUGAGAGGACGAUCAGCCACACUGGAACUGAGACACGGUCCAGACUCCUACGGGAGGCAGCAGUUAGGAAUCUUGGGCAAUGGGCGCAAGCCUGACCCAGCCAUGCCGCGUGUGUGAAGAAGGCCCUCGGGUUGUAAAGCACUUUCAGUGGCGAAGAAAAGCGUGGGGUUAAUACU